CAGUCGCCGCGGUAAAACGAACCGUGCGAACGUUAUUCGGAAUCACUGGGCUUAAAGCGCGUGUAGGCGGAUGGGAGCGUCGGCCUCUGUAAUCCCCCGGCUCAACCGGGGAAGUGGAGCCGAAACGACCCGUCUGGAGGGACGUAGGGGGACCUGGAACUUCCGGUGGAACGGUGAAAUGCGUUGAGAUCGGAAGGAACGCCCGUGGCGAAAGCGAGGUCCUGGACGUCUGCUGACGCUGAGACGCGAAAGCCAGGGGAGCGAACGGGAUUAGAUACCCGGGUAGUCCCUGUCUCUUAUU
rnacentral:rRNA from 1 species